AUAUGAGUGGUGUAGUGGUUUGGAUGUUGGACUAGGACUCAUGAGACCAGGAUUCGAAUCCCUACUUGGCCA